rnacentral:rRNA from 1 species
AACGAACGCUGGCGGCAUGCCUAACACAUGCAAGUCGAACGAGACCUUCGGGUCUAGUGGCGCACGGGUGCGUAACGCGUGGGAAUCUGCCCUUGGGUACGGAAUAACAGUUAGAAAUGACUGCUAAUACCGUAUAAUGACUUCGGUCCAAAGAUUUAUCGCCCAGGGAUGAGCCCGCGUAGGAUUAGCUUGUUGGUGAGGUAAAGGCUCACCAAGGCGACGAUCCUUAGCUGGUCUGAGAGGAUGAUCAGCCACACUGGGACUGAGACACGGCCCAGACUCCUACGGGUGGCAGCAGUGGGGAAUAUUGGACAAUGGGCGCAAGCCUGAUCCAGCAAUGCCGCGUGAGUGAUGAAGGCCUUAGGGUUGUAAAGCUCUUUUACCCGGGAAGAUAAUGACUGUACCGGGAGAAUAAGCCCCGGCUAACUCCGUGCCAGCAGCCGCCGUAA